rnacentral:rRNA from 1 species
CCAAGAGAUCGGAUAACACCUGGAAACAGAUGCUAAUACCGGAUAACAACAGAUGAUGCCUAUCAACUGUUUAAAAGAUGGUUCUGCUAUCACUCUUGGAUGGACCUGCGGUGCAUUAGCUAGUUGGUAGGGUAACGGCCUACCAAGGCGAUGAUGCAUAGCCGAGUUGAGAGACUGAUCGGCCACAUUGGGACUGAGACACGGCCCAAACUCCUACGGGAGGCAGCAGUU